CUUAAGUGGGGAAUAACGCAUCGAAAGGUGUGCUAAUACCGCAUAAUCUCUGAGGAGAAAAGCAGGGGAUCGCAAGACCUUGCGCUUUUGGAGCGGCCGAUGUCUGAUUAGCUUGUUGGUGAGGUAAAAGCUUACCAAGGCUUCGAUCAGUAGCUGGUCUGAGAGGACGACCAGCCACACUGGGACUGAGACACGGCCCAGACUCCUACGGGAGGCAGCAGUGGGGAAUUUUGGACAAUGGGGGCAACCCUGAUCCAGCCAUGCCGCGUGAGUGAAGAAGGCCUUCGGGUUGUAAAGCUCUUUCAGCCGGAACGAAACGGUUACGGUUAAUACCCGUGACUACUGACGGUACCGGAAGAAGAAGCACCGGCUAACUACGUGCCAGCAGCCGCGGUAAUACGUAGGGUGCGAGCGUUAAUCGGAAUUACUGGGCGUAAAGCGUGCGCAGGCGGUUUUGUAAGUCAGAUGUGAAAUCCCCGGGCUUAACCUGGGAACUGCGUUUGAAACUACAAAGCUAG
rnacentral:rRNA from 1 species